GACGAACGCUGGCGGCGUGCUUAACACAUGCAAGUCGAACGGAAAGGCCCCUUUGGGGGUACUCGAGUGGCGAACGGGUGAGUAACACGUGAGUAACCUGCCCUUGACUUCGGGAUAACUUCAGGAAACUGGGGCUAAUACCGGAUAGGAAUCCUUGCUGCAUGGUGGGGGUUGGAAAGCUUCGGCGGUUUUGGAUGGACUCGCGGCUUAUCAGCUUGUUGGUGGGGUAGUGGCUUACCAAGGCUUUGACGGGUAGCCGGCCUGAGAGGGCGACCGGCCACAUUGGGACUGAGAUACGGCCCAGACUCCUACGGGAGGCAGCAGGGGGGAAUAUUGCACAAUGGGCGGAAGCCUGAUGCAGCAACGCCGCGUGCGGGAUGACGGCCUUCGGGUUGUAAACCGAUUUCAGCAGGGGCGAAGCUUGUGGUGACGGUACCUGAAGAAGAAGCACCGGCUAACUACGUG
rnacentral:rRNA from 1 species